GGGGGGGGGGGGGGGGGGGGGGGGGGGGUGGGGGGGGGGGGGAGAGGGGCGGCGUUUGUGGGGUGGUGGGGUGGGGAGCGGGGGAGUAGCAGGGGAGGCAGCUGCCCUGGACUUUGGGAUAAAUUGGUGAAAGUGGGGCGGCUACCGGCUAGGAGCUGCUGCUGCCUGGGGGUGGUUGGUAGGGUUCGGCGGUUGGUGGUGGACGCGCGGCUUUUCAGCUUGUUGGUGGGGUAGUGGCUUACCAAGGCUUUGACGGGUAGCCGGCCUGAGAGGGUGGCCGGCCACAUUGGGACUGAGAUACGGCCCAGACUCCUACGGGAGGCAGCAGUGGGGAAUAUUGCACAAUGGGCGGAAGCCUGAUGCAGCAACGCCGCGUGCGGGAUGACGGCCUUCGGGUUGUAAACCGCUUUCGCCUGUGACGAAGCGUGAGUGACGGUAAUGGGUAAAGAAGCACCGGCUAACUACGUG
rnacentral:rRNA from 1 species